rnacentral:rRNA from 1 species
CGAGGGCUUCACCGCCUAUCAAGUCUUGACAAACUCCGAAUACUAUCACUUGAUCUUCGGGAGUGAGGGCAUGGGUGCUAAGGUCCAUGUCCGAAAGAGGAACAACUCAGACCACCAGCUAAGGUCCCGAAAUAAGGGCUAAGUUGAACAAACGAAGUAAAACUGCAAAGACAGCUAGGAUGUUGGCUUGGAAGCAGCCAUUCAUUUAAAGAGUGCGUAACAGCUCACUAGUCGAGGAGUUUUGCAUGGAUAAUAAUCGGGCAUAAGCCCUUUACCGAAGCUGUGGAUGUCGUAAGACAUGGUAGGGGAGCAUUCCGGCGGCGACGAAGGCCGUCCUCGAGGACGACUGGAGCUUUCGGAAAAGCAAAUGUAGGUAUAAGUAACGAUAAAGGGGGCGUGAAACCCCCUCGCCAUAAGACUAAGGAUUCCUGAUCAACGCUAAUCGGAUCAGGGUAAGUCGGGCCCUAAGGCGCAGCCGAACGGCGUAGCCGAUGGAAGAAACGGUAAAGAUUCCGUUACUGGAUAUAGGAGCGAUGUGGAGACGGAGAAGUGACACACCCGCCUGCCGACGGAAGCGCAGGUUAAAGGAAGUAGGUAAACGCCGGGUAGGCAAAUCCGCCUGGCGUGCCGAAGCUGACAGUAUCGAGAGCCCCCGGGCAAUCGAAUAGCGGUGGUAAUCAGGCUCCCAAGAAAAUCCGCUAAGCAAAUUCUAUAUCCACCCGUACCCCAAACGGACACACGUAGUCGGGUAGAAUAUACCAAGGCGCUCGAAAGACUCACGGUUAAGGAACUAGGCAAAUUGACCCUGUAACCUCGGGAAAAAGGGUCCCCAGUAAGAUGGGGCGCAGAGAAUAGGUCCAGGCAACUGUUUAACAAAAACACAGGGCUGUGCAAAAUUUCAAGAUGAAGUAUACAGCCUGACACCUGCCCGGUGCCGGAAGGUUAAGAGGAGAGCUAAUCGCAAGAGAAGGCUUGAAUUGAAGCCCCGGUAAACGGCGGCCGUAACUAUAACGGUCCUAAGGUAGCGAAAUUCCUUGUCGGGUAAGUUCCGACCUGCACGAAUGGUGUAAUGAUCUGGACACUGUCUCAACCGUGACUUCGGUGAAAUUGUAGUAUCGGUGAAGAUGCCGAUUACCCGCAACGGGACGAAAAGACCCCGUGAACCUUUACUGCAACUUAGCAUUGCGUUUGGGCAUUUGAUGUGUAGGAUAGUCCGGAGGCUACGUGAAGCAGGCGACGCCAGUAGUCGGGGAGCCGCUGUUGAAAUACGGACCUUCGAAUGUUUGAGCGCUAACUCGCAGGAGCGAGGACACUGUUUGGUGGGUAGUUUGACUGGGGUGGUCG